AUUGAACGCUGGCGGCAGGCCUAACACAUGCAAGUCGAACGAGUGGCGGACGGGUGAGUAAUGUCUGGGAAACUGCCUGAUGGAGGGGGAUAACUACUGGAAACGGUAGCUAAUACCGCAUAACACCGGAUGUGCCCAGAUUGGAUUAGCUAGUAGGUGGGGGAAAGGCGCACCUAGGCGACGAUCCCUAGCUGGUCUGAGAGGUUGACCAGCCACACUGGAACUGAGACACGGUCCAGACUCCUACGGGAGGCAGCAGUGGGGAAUCUUUCACAAUGGACGCAAGCCUGAGGCAGCCAUGCCGCGUGUAUGAAGAAGGCCUUCGGGUUGUAAAGUACUUUCAGCGGGGAGGCGGUACCUGCAGAGGAAGCACCGGCUAACUCCGUGCCAGCAGCCGCGGUAAUUC
rnacentral:rRNA from 1 species